CAGUAUAUAAACAUACUAUAUAAAUAUACAGUUAUACCCUGCUUAUUAAUGCUGAUACAUUCUGAGAAAUGUGUCAUUAGGCAAUUUUGCCAUUGUGCUAACAUCAUAGAAUGUACUUACACAAAAUUAGAUGGUAUGGUCUGCUACACAGGUAGGCUAUAUGGUAUAGCCUAUUGCUCCUAGGCUACAAACCUGUACAACAUGUUACUAUACCAAAUACUGAAGUUAAUUAUGACACAAUGCUGAGUAUUUAUGCACCUAAACAUAGCUAAACAUAGAAAAGGUACAGUAAAAAUUUUGUAUUAUAAUCUUACAGGACCACUGUCAUAUCUUCAUUUGAUCAAAGUGUCAUUAGGUGGACAUGACUAUAUAUAAAUAUAUGAUCAAAUAUAUUUGUUAUUUAUAUAUUUUUAUCAAUAUUUAUAUAUUAAUAUAAUACUAAUAUAUAUAUAAGUUCUUUAUUAUCUUUCUGUCUCAUUUAGUCUAAACCUAAUAUUGUAUUCCCUCUGCAGAAACCUGCAUCACAAAGGGCCAGCACAGCAAGGGGCACCAGGAAUCCAGGGACCGUUAUUUAAUUGAUGGCACUGGCAGAUGAUGGUCUCUCUUCCACGCAUGAGACAUGGUGCAGGUCUGCAUGAUGUCGUCUUCUUUUCCCUUGUGCAUUCUCAGAACAGAUAGCCCAGAUGGCACUGUGAUUCACUGUAAAGCAGGAAGGAGAUAAUGCAGCAGCAUCUGCAGUGCUGCCAGGAGGAACACCUCUAUCGCAAUUGGGUGGAUCUUGGCUACCUCUGGGCCAAUUCUCCCUGUGUAGAUCUUGAUGAAGAAGAGAGUUCUGGGGAAUCCUGUGAGCCCUGUGGCAUAGUAUUUAAGUGACUAUUUUGGUUUGACUAGCAUAGUUCGAGCUGAACCAGUUCUCACCGUAAUAUCCAGUAAGUUGAAUUGCUUUUCUUUAUCUACACAGAAGAAACACAUGUUGUUGUGUAGGAAAGGAAUUGCCAGUCUCUGAAAAUUUCCCUCUGCAGUGUCUAAUAUAGAAAUCUGUAAGCAUUUAUCUAGAUUCUAGAAAUAUUUUCUUUUAAUAUUUUUUCAAGUGUCCAAACCUAAGCAAUAUGUAUAUACAUAUUUUCUCACUUAAGACAACUAAGUCAUCAGUCAAGGUUGCCAGCGUUUCAUUGACCAUUUCUAGCCACCGGGCUUUGAAAAGUUCACCCUACCUUACAUGGUAGAGGAAAGUAAAUAGUUCUGUGUAGUUGCCAGCAUAGAGCCUUCUCACUUGAAGUUAUUUUCAUUCUGUAUUGAAAUGCUCUAUUUCUUGUAACAUUAAGUCUUCAGAAAUAGAGGGAGAGCAAGG
rnacentral:lncRNA from 13 species